rnacentral:rRNA from 1 species
GAUGAACGCUGGCGGCGUGCUUAACACAUGCAAGUCGAACGGGAAACCUUUUAUUGAAGCUUCGGCAGAUUUAGCUGGUUUCUAGUGGCGGACGGGUGAGUAACGCGUGGGUAACCUGCCUUAUACAGGGGGAUAACAACCAGAAAUGGUUGCUAAUACCGCAUAAGCGCACAGGACCGCAUGGUCCGGUGUGAAAAACUCCGGUGGUAUAAGAUGGACCCGCGUUGGAUUAGCUAGUUGGCAGGGUAACGGCCUACCAAGGCGACGAUCCAUAGCCGGCCUGAGAGGGUGAACGGCCACAUUGGGACUGAGACACGGCCCAGACUCCUACGGGAGGCAGCAGUGGGGAAUAUUGCACAAUGGGGGAAACCCUGAUGCAGCGACGCCGCGUGAAGGAAGAAGUAUCUCGGUAUGUAAACUUCUAUCAGCAGGGGAGAUAGUGACGGUACCUGACUAAGAAGCCCCGGCUAACUACGUG